rfam:Prevotella micans F0438 genomic scaffold supercont1.1, whole genome shotgun sequence.
GCAGUGUUCCGGCUCUGUCGUUGAUGAUUAGAUUUUUGUUAUCAAUAUUAUUUUCAUCAAAGGAAAGUCCGGGCAGCAUAGGGUAUCCUGCUUCCGAAAGGGAAGCUAUUGGCGACAAUAGAUGUAGGCAGAAGAAAAGAACCGCUGCUGAAAGGCAGUAAGGAUGAGAAGGCGGUGUAAGAGACCACCGGCAAACGGGCGAUCGUUUGGCCGUGCCAGUCAGGAGCUGUAAGUUCAUGUAAACCGUUGUUUGAAGGCGACCCGCCUGAGCACUGUCACAACGGAGGGUAGAAUGCUAUUGACCAUCUAGGGCAACCUGGUGGCUAGAUAAAUGACAGGCAUCUUCCUCGUAAGAGAAAGAAACAGAACCCGGCUUAUAGGAACACUGCUCUU